rnacentral:rRNA from 1 species
AAGCGAGCCUGCGAGGGGGAGGCGAAUCCCAAAAAUAAACGUCCCAGUUCGGAUUGUAGUCUGCAACCCGACUACAUGAAGCUGGAAUCGCUAGUAAUCGCGAAUCAGAAUGUCGCGGUGAAUACGUUCCCGGGCCUUGUACACACCGCCCGUCACACCAUGAGAGUCGAUAACACCCGAAGCCUGUGAGCUAACUUAAGGGAGGCAGCAGUCGAAGGUAGAGCCAAUGAUUGGGGUGAAGUCGUAACAAGGUACC